UGGGGAAUUUUCCGCAAUGGGCGAAAGCCUGACGGAGCAACGCCGCGUGAGGGAGGAAGGCUUUUGGGUUGUAAACCUCUUUUCUCAAGGAAGAUAGUGACGGUACUUGAGGAAUCAGCAUCGGCUAACUCCGUGCCAGCAGCCGCGGUAAUACGGAGGAUGCAAGCGUUAUCCGGAAUAAUUGGGCGUAAAGCGUUCGUAGGUGGUUUUGUAAGUCUGCUGUUAAAGCGUGUAGCUCAACUACAUAUAGGCAGUGGAAACUACAAAACUUGAGUGCGUUCGGGGCAGAGGGGAUUCCUAGUGUAGCGGUGACAUGCGUAGAGAUUAGGAAGAACACCGGGGGAGAAAGCGCUCUGCUAGGCCGCAGCUGACGCUGAGGGACGAAAGCUAGGGGAGCGAAUGGGAUUAGAUACCCCUGUAGUCC
rnacentral:rRNA from 1 species